GGUCAAAUGUACUAUGUCUCAGCAGCUCGCUCAACGUUCAACAGGCGAGCAUCAGCAUACAUGUAAAUGUACAUGCGGCUGGGCUAGUAUAAUACACCUAAAAACUCCCCAGUUAUCUUCUAGCUUCCAUGUAUUUAUCUGGGCACCAUGGUUGAAUUCAAAGAUCCAAAUUCACCAGUCCAGGAAGGCUUCGACAACCGUGUUUUUAUUAUACCGGCAAUUAUUAUAGUGUCGCUUAUUGGAUUUGUAGUCUACAAACUUGCAUCCAGUGUUCGAGGACGCGAGAAGGCCCGGAAAGAGAAAAAGAUGCGGAAACUGGAGAAGAAAACCAGAUGACAUCCCCCAGGAUCCAGCUCUACCUUCAGCCCUCGUGAAGAAAUCAUUCAAAGAAUCAGUGCUUUAUAACAUCGUCUGUCAACGUGUGUUUACAGAUCUUGCUGCCAAAUCAUGAGUAUAGUCUUUGUGGUGUAUUGCUGUUUAAGCUAAGCAUCAUUAUCGGGAUAAAUUCUGCACCAGUAUCUCGCAAGGCCAGCAUGUAUGGAUGCUUUAAGGAUAUAUACAUGUACAGUGUACAUGGUCAGCCCACCGUAUGCUGUGAAAACCGAAAAACCAAGCCAAGAACUUGCUAGUUGCACCUGCAAUAGAUAGUCUUAUCAGCUGUCAUCAGACUUAAUACCCACCUAGUAUUGGUGCAGGUUGAGUUUUGUGGUGGCAGAACAAACAAAUAUCCCUCGGUUCCUCAAAACCAACUGAACUGAACUGAACUGUGUGAUUACUGCAAUGCACUGCACUACUGCCUGUGCAGCAUCUGAAGUGGAAAAGUGUGUUGCAACUGAACCGCACCUUGCAGUGGAGAUUAUUCCAGACCAGUUUCCGACCUGGGAACCCUAGCCAUCCUCAGUCCUCCAAAAUCCGCUGGGCUGUUUUGAAGGAUUUUAGAAGUUUGAGGGUGCAUGCAAUUUUGAGGUUGUUGUAAAUGGAGGAUUUUGAAGGAUUGAGGGUGUUUCCUAACCAAAAAGGCCCAGGCAGUUAGUGGUGAUUCAUACCUUCUAACUUUCUUAAAGCUUUCUGUAAUUCUGUGGUCUAGUUUCAGAUUUUUCUUAAUUUUUUUUUUUUAAUUCAGAGUGUGUUCCAUUUAACAUGUUUAAGCAAGGGAUAUAUUCAAACACGCAAAACAUGACAGGUCUUCUUGUAAUCACACAUACAUGUAUAAGCAGUAUUCAAUAUGGAGUGGGUUAUUUCGGACUCCCGAGAUAGUGUGGUCACUCCUUCAUGUAUACAUGUACAGGGCUGCCUACUUUCGAGCAUUGCUCCUAAGACUUGUACUUUUUUGAAUUAUUCUUACUUUCUUAUAUCCGAUAGGGGAUCUCUCGUGCAGAAAAAAUUAAGGAUGUACAAAUUUAAAUUUGUAAAGUAAUUCCAUGUCCUGUCUUAACAUUCCAUGGUCUAAAAGCUCACUUCUGGUAAAGGGGAACGAUUUGAUUGA